UAGGAGCAGUUAAUGCCCUGUCCC
rnacentral:piRNA from 1 species